UCGGCGGGCACUGUGGUGCCCUUCGACCCGCCCCUCCCUCUGCUUCGCGCGCCAGUCCCUUCCUCUUCCUCCGCCGCCCGAGCCCCCGUCCUCGCCUUCCGUGACGCCGCGAGCUGGCGAGCUGCCUUGGAGGCCGCCGAGGCCAGUCUCUUCUCCCAGUGUGAGGUAACACGUUCCCUAUCAUCUCAUAUCCAUCCUAAUCUGUGUCUUUUUCACAUGCCUGAAUCAUCGCAUGACUAG
rnacentral:rRNA from 1 species